GUGAGAGAGAUGGGGGAUAAUGGUCAGGCAGCCUCAUCCUCUCAGAGGUCCCCACCCUAUCCAGGCUCUGGUCCUCAAAGGCAUCAGCCCCCAGCAGGUCACCUCACAGUUCUCUACUGACCUCAGUACACAGUACCCCAGGCUCUUGCUGCCCAUGUCCUGGGGGUGUUCAGUGGGAGUUGGGGAGCGGGGUGGCUGGAGGGUCCACGUGGGUGCAGCUGGAGUGGCUAUGCUUACUCCCAGGGCAGCUGUAGCCCAGGCUUGAGGCGCAUCCUACCCGAAGCCAGAGGGGGCCCUGCCACACUCCCCGAGGUGCCUUGGCACUCAGUGCCCCUCCCUCGCCCUCCAGGGAAGCAGCAGCAGGGGCUAAAGCCGCUCCACACCCCUCUUUCGCUCCACACUCCCAACACCACGUGGGCCGCACUUUCACGCCUAUUUAGAACCACGGAGACCUACCGUGUGCCUGAUUCUAGAUGCCCGCAGUUAGGAAGCAGCCUCUGCAGUCCAACUCCCCGGGUUCCAUCCCAGCUCUGGACUCACCCUCCAUGCCUGGGCAUUUCAUAACCUUGGGGUGCCUCAGUUUCCCCAGCCUUAAACAGUGAACUUCUGUUCACUACUUUCCAGGAGAGCUGCUGACGAUUAAAUGUCAAGUGCUCCGUGGUGCUGGCCGGACCUGCAGGAGCAUCAGCUACAAGAGGUGCAGAGAGCUGAGCACCUGCCCUCAAUGGUGGCUUGAGGUGGUCGGACUGUGUCCUUGAACCGCGCAGCCGCAUCCCGAUCAGCCUUCAGUGGGCUUGCAGCGCGCAUGCACAAGUCCUGUGGCCCAUGCGCGUGCGCACCAGCGGAUGCCAGACGGGGAGCGCUGCUGGGAACAGCGUCAUGGCUCUGAGGAUUCGGAGCAGAGGGCAGGGGGACGAGGGGGCGGCUGGAGCCCAGUUCGCUCUUGCGAAGCACUUCCUGAACUGCACAUUCAGUUACCACAAAAUGAGUCAAGGUCCCUUUCAAGUGGCUUGUUGAGCUUCCCUCUGAUCUGGCACAGCCUCCCCGGGAUGGACGGGCCACAGUCUUUCCUGGUUCUUGGAGCUGAACUCUGGUGACUCCAGAAAAGAAGGCCUCCAGUCGCCAAGUUUUCAUACCUUCUUUGAGUGAUAAGACGCAGAGAGGAGGCGCCAUAUGUUUCUGCAUCGGUGCACACCCAACGAGCCUUCUGAGCCCUCAGAGCAAGGCAAAGGCACCAUCCCUCAAAGAGGAGCCCCUUUCCAGAAGGGGAUUCCUUUAUGAGGUGGCGGGAGCAGCAUCCAUGAUGCACUUGGACACACAGCGUGGAGGAAGCUCCCAGGAACCUUUAUCGUCUUCUCUGUUCUGCAUCAUGCUGAUCUUUCUUGUAUGACUUGUGUAUGACUUGGCCUUGGGCCUAGUGAUUGGUGAAAUUGGAGACGAUAAUACCAACCCACAAGUUUGUUUCACAAACUAAGUUCACUUUUUAAAACUGUUUGGUUAGAUAAACCCACUCUGAGUACCAGCUUUGCCACUUCCUAACUGGGUCAUUUGGGGCAAGUCACUUGCCUUCUCUGACUCAUUUCUCCACUAAAAAUGAGGAGGGGAGUUCCCACUGUGGCUCAGCAGAAAUGAAACUGACUGGUAUCCAUGAGGAUGAGGGUUCAAUCCCUGACCUUGCUCAGUGGGUUAAUGAUCUGGCGUUGCCAUGAGCUGUGGUGCAGAUCACAGAUAAGGCUCAGAUCUGGUGUGGCUGUGGCUGUGGUAUAGGCCGGCAGCUGCAGCUCCAACUCGACCCCUAGCCUGGGAACUUCCACAUGCUGAACCUAAAAAAGCAAAAAGCAAAAAAAAGGGGAGGAAGCUGGGGUUCCUGCUGUGUUGCAAUAAAGUCUCUGCAGAGCCAUAUGUUGGGUCCCUAGUCCCCGUACAAUGGGUUAAAGGAUCCAACGUUGCUGCAGCUGUGGUGUAGGUCACGGCUGUGGCUCAGAUUCAGUCCCUGGACUGGGAAUUUCCAUACACUGAGUAUGCAACCAGAAAACAAAAAAUACUUAAAAUGGGGAGGAAGCUAUUCGUGGCUUCAUUGGGCCUCUGAUGAGUGAUUGGAAGCACUUUUUUGAACAAAUGUGCUCAAAAGUUUUCAAUAAAUAUUAGAUUCUUGUCUCAAUUUGGUGGAAAGAUGUAUAUCUCCUUGAGUUCAGGGAGGAAUCAGAGGAGACUGUAUUUUAAGCUGAAGUUACAAUCACCGGCAUAAGUCAGGCUACAGAUCUUUCUAUUUUUCCCAGCAGUGUGUGUGGGAGGAUCUAAAUGACACCCCAACAUGUUACUCAAAGGAUUUGAAGGUUUUGCCUAAAAUGAAGACCAUAAUUUCACCUUUUCUUUAAGAGUCCCGGCUUUCCAGGACUUGCCUUUGUUUUGUCACUUAAGCCAGGGUGGUGCAACAGAUAGAAAGUAGGCACUCCUCUCCCCCCACCCCGACCCCUGGCCCAGUAAACACUAGAAUUUCCCUGUUUGAACUAUGAAAGAAAUAGGGAGUUAGACUCAAAGAAACAGCCCCCAACUUGCCACACGAGGGGGGAGGGUCCUUUUCCCAAUAAGGGUUUAGGAAAGGAGAGCCUAAGGAGAUUUCAAUGGGACCAGCAGUUGUAGUGAUGAAUUUUCAGGGAAGAUGCAUUUACCAAUGGAAUGAAUACUUUCAAAUCGACCUUUCUCAGGUCACACCGCAACUUCCAUACCAGUAUUUAUGUAAUUUUUACAAAGCACUUUUGAGAGAGAAACACACACGUGCACAUACACAGGCACUAUAUUUAGUAACACCGCCCAUGCAGUCUUUGCCUUAAAAACUCCUAUUUCAUCAUCUGGCUGGAGAACCAUAGCCUAGCUGUGACUAGAAGCCCAGGGCAGAAGAACCCUGUGGAUACAAGAGCCAACCUACCAACUGGAGCAGGAACAACAAGCACCACCACAACGAAAUGAUUUAUUUUCAAGAUAAUAAGUGCACCCUAAAACAGCAGACAGUUUUUCCAAUUUCAAUAGUUGGAAAUGAAAAGAAUGCCAUUCAACCUAUGUACAAAAUUAAAAUAGACUCAAAGACCUAGAAAACAAACAUACGGUUCCCAGAGUGGGACGGGGAGGGGAAGGGAUAAAUUAGGAGUAUGGGAUUAAUAGAUACACACUGUUAUAUUUAAAAUACAUAAACAACGAGUUUACUGGAGAACACAGGGCACUCUAUUCAAUAUCUCGUAACAAUCUAUAAUGGAAAAGAAUCUAAAGCUGUACACCUGAAACGAAC
rnacentral:lncRNA from 9 species